rnacentral:rRNA from 1 species
UUUGACCUCAAAUCAGGUAGGACUACCCGCUGAACUUAAGCAUAUCAAUAAGCGGAGGAAAAGAAACCAACAGGGAUUGCCUUAGUAGCGGCGAGUGAAGCGGCAAAAGCUCAAAUUUGAAAUCUGGCUCUUUCAGAGUCCGAGUUGUAAUUUGAAGAAGGUAUCUUUGGGUCUGGCUCUUGUCUAUGUUUCUUGGAACAGAACGUCACA